rnacentral:rRNA from 1 species
AACGAACGCUGGCGGCAUGCCUAACACAUGCAAGUCGAACGAGACCUUCGGGUCUAGUGGCGCACGGGUGCGUAACGCGUGGGAACCUGCCCUUAGGUUCGGACUAACUCCCCGAAAGGGGUGCUAAUACCGGAUAAUGUCUUCGGACCAAAGAUUUAUCGCCUUUGGAUGGGCCCGCGUUGGAUUAGCUAGUUGGUAGGGUAAAAGCCUACCAAGGCGACGAUCCAUAGCUGGUCUGAGAGGAUGAUCAGCCACACUGGGACUGAGACACGGCCCAGACUCCUACGGGAGGCAGCAGUGGGGAAUAGUGGACAAUGGGCGAAAGCCUGAUCCAGCAAUGCCGCGUGAGUGAUGAAGGCCUUAGGGUUGUAAAGCUCUUUUACCCGGGAUGAUAAUGACAGUACCGGGAGAAUAAGCUCCGGCUAACUCCGUG